UACGGCUAUAUCCCAAUGAAACGCCACUUCUCGUCCGAUUGCCAAAGUUAAGCAACGUUGAAGCUGGUCAGUACUUAGAUAGGUGACCGCUUGGGAAUACCAAGUACUGUAAG